GCUUACGGCCAUACAAGCCGAAGAACGCCUGGACUCGUCUGAUCUCGGAAGCUAAGAAGGCUUGGGCCUGGUUAGCACUUGAAUGGGAGACUGCCGGGAAUACCAGGUGCUGUAAGCU
ensembl:rRNA 5S_rRNA 5S ribosomal RNA